rnacentral:rRNA from 1 species
AUUGAACGCUGGCGGCAGGCCUAACACAUGCAAGUCGAACGGUAACAGGAAGAAGCUUGCUUCUUUGCUGACGAGUGGCGGACGGGUGAGUAAUGUCUGGGAAACUGCCUGAUGGAGGGGGAUAACUACUGGAAACGGUAGCUAAUACCGCAUAACGUCGCAAGACCAAAAAGGGGGACCUUCGGGCCUCUUGCCAUCGGAUGUGCCCAGAUGGGAUUAGCUAGUAGGUGGGGUAACGGCUCACCUAGGCGACGAUCCCUAGCUGGUCUGAGAGGAUGACCAGCCACACUGGAACUGAGACAUGGUCCAGACUCCUACGGGAGGCAGCAGUGGGGAAUAUUGCACAAUGGGCGCAAGCCUGAUGCAGCCAUGCCGCGUGUAUGAAGAAGGCCUUCGGGUUGUAAAGUACUUUCAGCGGGGAGGAAGGGAGUAAAGUUAAUACCUUUGCUCAUUGACGUUACCCGCAGAAGAAGCACCGGCUAACUCCGUG